GAUGAAGAACGCAGCGAAAUGCGAUAAGUAAUGUGAAUUGCAGAAUUCAGUGAAUCAUCGAAUCUUUGAACGCACAUUGCGCCCCCUGGUAUUCCGGGGGGCAUGCCUGUUCGAGCGUCAUUUCACCACUCAAGCCUCGCUUGGUAUUGGGCAACGCGGUCCGCCGCGUGCCUCAAAUCGACCGGCUGGGUCUUCUGUCCCCUAAGCGUUGUGGAAACUAUUCGCUAAAGGGUGUUCGGGAGGCUACGCCGUAAAACAACCCCAUUUCUAAGGUUGACCGCGGAUCAGGUAGGGAUACCCGCUGAACUUAAGCAUAUCAAUAAGCGGAGGA
rnacentral:misc_RNA from 1 species